rnacentral:rRNA from 1 species
GGGACCCGUCUUGAAACACGGACCAAGGAGUCUAGCAUGUGCGCGAGUCAUUGGGACUCUAACGAAACCUAAAGGCGUAAUGAAAGUGAAGGUCCGCCUCGCGCGGACCGAGGGAGGAUGGUCGGUCUUUAGUAGGGACCGUCCCGCACUCCCUGGGCGUCUCGUUCUCAUCGCGAGAAGAGGCGCACCAAGAGCGUACACGCUGGGACCCGAAAGAUGGUGAACUAUGCCUGGUCAGGACGAAGUCAGGGGAAACCCUGAUGGAGGUCCGUAGCGAUUCUGACGUGCAAAUCGAUCGUCGGAACUGGGUAUAGGGGCGAAAGACUAAUCGAACCAUCUAGUAGCUGGUUCCCUCCGAAGUUUCCCUCAGGAUAGCUGGCGCUCGCUUCUCGCGAGUCUCAUUCGGUAAAGCGAAUGAUUAGAGGCAUUGGGGUCGAAACGGCCUCAACCUAUUCUCAAACUUUAAAUGGGUGAGAUCUCCGGCUUGCUUGAACUGUGAAGCCGCGAGAUAUCGGAUCAGAGUGCCAAGUGGGCCACUUUUGGUAAGCAGAACUGGCGCUGUGGGAUGAACCAAACGCCGAGUUAAAGCGCCUAAAUCGACGCUUAUGGGAUACCAUGAAAGGCGUUGGUAACUUAAGACAGCAGGACGGUGGCCAUGGAAGUCGGAAUCCGCUAAGGAGUGUGUAAA